UCCCCCAGCCAAAGGCCUCCAGCGAGACUCUAACACCUUGCCACCAGUUACCUUCACUCUUUCAGGGAGCCUGAGGAGGAAGACACAUUGGGUUUUCAGCACUACAGAUUUGGGGUAACAUUGCCAAGAUGGCUUGCAGCCUUUCCAAGAGGCUAACGGCUCAGUGGGGAAAAGGUGGCCCUCCCCCCACGCCCCCCACCCCCGUCGUGCAGUUUUAAAGAAGCUGUCUGUGAUGCCGCAGUGAAUGGCUUCUCUGUGAGAUGUGCCUGGUGCUGACCAAUAGGCUUCUCAGACUAUCCGUGCUUAAUGAAGAGUCUACGUGAGAAUCCCAGGGCUGCAGGAGAAGAUACACUGGAUUAGAAGGUUCAUGUUGGAAAGAAACAUUACAGAACACCACAGAGGCAGGGCAACAGCAACCCUGAAACGUGGGGCCUGAGCACCUGAGAGGACCAGAAAUUGGAGACGUCAUCUUCAGAGCACCUGGCCUUGAACGUGUAAUUCUACUGCUCUGGUCCUCCAAGUGGCUCUGCUAACAAGUAGAUCCCUGCAAGCCUAGCUCUUUGGUAUCUACACAGCUUUUUUUUUCUCAAUCACGCUGUUCAAAAGCCACCACAUCGUGCAGAAAUCACCAGGGACUGAUUGUUCACAUACUGCCUGAGAACAUCUCACACACCACCCCAGAAGCACUGCUCAUCUUCUGAGCAUGUGCCAAGUGCAGAGACAAAGCAAACUGGGACAGCCCUCCAUCUCACAGAAAGAUAUGGAUUACAGGACUGAGGGCUUCUCCUGAUCACUGAUACAUGGAGGCCUGUGCAGGCCUGAAGUUGUGAGGAUGUGGGCUACACCCUGGACUUCUCGACUUAUACAACUCCAUCUGCCAGAGUGAAAUCUUGAACCAAGGAGGGAGUAAACUGAGUCUGAGAAACCUUCACACCUGCCACUGCGACCAACAUGGGACGUUGAGGUCAUUUGCCAACACUACCUCCCAGUCUUGACUUUGAAAGCAAUUUUAUUUCUCCUUGCUCCACAUGUGAUCUGAAACUCUGCCCAGCUAGACUACAAGUCAGCUGAGAAGCUCCAUCAGCAAGAUGAAGGACAAUGGCUGGCCACCACAAGAAUCUGAAACAGCAUGUAAGAAAGGACUGGGGACACAUUGGCAGCCUCAGCCAAUGGAAACAGAAUAGUACAACAUGCCACCAGGGACCAACUGCCUGGCUGUUUGAAACUGCUCACAGGCAAGGGAGCCAACCACCCCUUACAAGAGCCUCUCAAUGGAAAAAGCAGCCAUCACUCCCACAUGGUAGUAUGCUGAGGCUUCAGUAACACUGCAGAGACAGGAUACACAGGGCCUACAAUGGACUGUGUACACAAGCGCCAGGGCCUAUUUUUAUGUCUGUCAAGAAAGGGCAGGAUGAUAUUAAUGUGCCCCAAUUUUUAAGUUAUGGAAUUUCAAAACAAGACUUAAAAUAUUUCCACCCAAAAUGUGGUGCUACAGGUAAAACUCACACUGAUCUAAAAUUCCAGAGUUUAUGGAUGCUAUAUCUCACAUUCUGAGCAGCAGAACUAUCAUGCUGUGUACAUUCGGAGUGCCCCAAGGAAACAAUCCAGACGUGAAGAAGAUCCUUCAGUUAAUGGAGAGCGUGCAGGCAUCUGCUAACGAAUAUGGAACGGGGCCCUUCAGGUAAUUUAGAGUGCAUAUCUAUGUCUCAGAUAGAGAGGGACUCAGUUAACCAAGGCUAUGCAUCUGUAUCUACUAUGGAGAGGGACUCAGUUAACCUAGAACCUGCAUCUAUUUCUACUAUGGAGAGGGACUCAGCUAAGAGCAUGCAUCUAUGUCUACUGUAGAGAGGACUCUUUGGUUAAAAGAGAGUAUGCAUCAUCUAUGCAUCUUAAAGACCCAAGUUUUGCCCUCAUUGUCAGAAAUCUCUAAUAUCAGAAUUUUGUGGGUUUUUUUCAAUAGAGAUAAAUGACUUUUUACUAUUUUGAGAUGUUUGAGGUGCCAGUGGGUAGAUACUGUGGGAGGGAAUGAUGAGUAAGUCUUGAAGAGAAAGUUGAGAAGAGUUUCUCAGUUGGUAAAGUUGAGCUGGGCUAUGUAGGGAGAUAAGCCACCUUGAAUGUACUCACAGGCCCAGGAGCAGAUCGGAACAGAGGGAAACUUGGGGACAAGAGUCCAUUGUCAAACACUACUCCCUGUCAGUUUCAAAGGUUCAUUCCAGAAACAGAGGUCUCCAUAAGAUGGCAGAGGCCACAGGAUGCAGUUCCCCUACCUGUGUUUUUAAAAUCUCUUCAUCUAUGAGUUCAAACAACCACACACACAAGAAGUCACUUGAAUGACAAACUUCUUUGUUUCCUUAAUUAGAUACAAAUUCAUUUAUCAGCUGUCCAAAUAAAGUAUGAAGGAAUAUUAAAAGCUACUUUCAAUUAGCCUA